rnacentral:rRNA from 1 species
UACGUAGGGUGCGAGCGUUGUCCGGAAUUAUUGGGCGUAAAGAGCUCGUAGGUGGCGGGUCACGUCGGGUGUGAAAGCCCGGGGCUUAACUCCGGGUCUGCAUUCGAUACGGGUCUGCUGGGUCCGGCAGGGGAGACUGGAAUUCCUGGUGUAGCGGUGAAAUGCGCAGAUAUCAGGAGGAACACCGGUGGCGAAGGCGGGUCUCUGGGCCGGUACCGACGCUGAGGAGCGAAAGCGUGGGGAGCGAACAGG